UACGAAGGGGGCUAGCGUUGCUCGGAAUCACUGGGCGUAAAGGGCGCGUAGGCGGACUCUUAAGUCGGGGGUGAAAGCCCAGGGCUCAACCCUGGAAUUGCCUUCGAUACUGAGAGUCUUGAGUUUGGAAGAGGUUGGUGGAACUGCGAGUGUAGAGGUGAAAUUCGUAGAUAUUCGCAAGAACACCAGUGGCGAAGGCGGCCAACUGGUCCGAUACUGACGCUGAGGCGCGAAAGCGUGGGGAGCAAACAGG
rnacentral:rRNA from 1 species